rnacentral:rRNA from 1 species
GAUCAUGGCUCAGGAUGAACGCUGGCGGCGUGCCUAACACAUGCAAGUCGAACGGAGAUUACGGACGGAAGUUUUCGGAUGGAAGUUUGUAAUUCUUAGUGGCGGACGGGUGAGUAACGCGUGGGCAACCUGCCCUAUACAGGGGGGAUAGCAGCUGGAAACGGCUGGUAAGACCGCAUAAGUCGGUUAAAUCGCAUGAUUUGAUCGGGAAAUGAGCAAUCAGGUAUAGGAUGGGCCCGCGUCCGA